UUAUUGGGCCUAAAGCAUCCGCAGGCGGUCUUGUAAGUCUGUUGUUAAAGCGUGGAGCUUAACUCCAUUUCAGCAAUGGAAACUGCAAGACUAGAGUGUGGUAGGGGCAGAGGGAAUUCCCGGUGUAGCGGUGAAAUGCGUAGAUAUCGGGAAGAACACCAGUGGCGAAGGCGCUCUGCUGGGCCAUAACUGACGCUCAUGGACGAAAGCCAGGGGAGCGAAAGGGAUUAGAUACCCCUGUAGUCCUGGCCGUAAACGAUGAACACUAGGUGUCGGGGGAAUCGACCCCCUCGGUGUCGUAGCCAACGCGUUAAGUGUUCCGCCUGGGGAGUACGCACGCAAGUGUGAAACUCAAAGGAAUUGACGGGGGCCCGCACAAGCGGUGGAGUAUGUGGUUUAAUUCGAUGCAACGCGAAGAACCUUACCAGGGUUUGACAUCCUGCGAAUCUCUUGGAAACGAGAGAGUGCCUUCGGGAACGCAGUGACAGGUGGUGCAUGGCUGUCGUCAGCUCGUGUCGUGAGAUGUUGGGUUAAGUCCCGCAACGAGCGCAACCCACGUCGUUAGUUGCCAGCAUUUAGUUGGGCACUCUAGCGAGACCGCCGGUGAUAAACCGGAGGAAGGUGUGGAUGACGUCAAGUCAUCAUGCCCCUUACAUCCUGGGCUACACACGUACUACAAUGCUACGGACAAAGGGCAGCAAACUCGCGAGAGCUAGCAAAUCCCAUAAACCGUGGCUCAGUUCAGAUCGUAGGCUGCAACUCGCCUACGUGAAGGAGGAAUCGCUAGUAAUCGCAGGUCAACAUACUGCGGUGAAUACGUUCCCGGGCCUUGUACACACCGCCCGUCACACCAUGGAAGUUGGCCACGCCCGAAGCCGUUACUCCAACCCUUGUGGAGGAGGACGUCGAAGGUGGGGCUGAUGACUGGGGUGAAGUCGUAACAAGGUAACC
rnacentral:rRNA from 1 species